GAUGAAGAACGCAGCGAAAUGCGAUAAGUAAUGUGAAUUGCAGAAUUCAGUGAAUCAUCGAAUCUUUGAACGCCCCUUGCACCCUUUGGCAUUCCGAAGGGUAUGCUCGUUUGAGUGUCAUUGUACUCUCACACUCCCAAUUGCUUUGGAUUGGGAGCGGUGGACUUGGGUGUUGCUGCUUGACUGAGGCUCACCUGAAAUAUGUUAGUGCACCUCUUGAUUGGACAUAGUACGGCGUGAUAAGUGUCUUCGCCGGCUCCUCGCAAAGAGGGUGGCCGAUCGGGAGCUCUGUUGCUUCAAACUGUCUUCGGACAAUCUUCUGGCGACUUGACCUCAAAUCGAGUAGGACUACCCGCUGAACUUAAGCAUAUCAAUAAGCGGAGGA
rnacentral:misc_RNA from 1 species